ensembl:snRNA U4 U4 spliceosomal RNA
CUUUUUGCGCAGUGGCAGUAUCGUAGCCAAUGAGGUUUAUCCGAGGUGCGAUUAUUGCUAAUGGAAUCCUGAGGUUAUGUCAAUAGUGUUGUGUAAACUAUCCUAGUUAAUCAAGGUAGGCUCUGCUUUGUG